rnacentral:lncRNA from 1 species
ACAGAAUACUAUGAAACGUGUCUUGCUGUAACACCAAAGCUCAACACUCGGUUUUUCAUAUUUUUUUAUCGUGAUACAAAACCUACGACUCAAACAACUAAUGAUCAUAUUUGUUGUCAGUUUGUCAUAUUGAUUUUUGACCACAGAAUUUCCCGUUAAGGAUAUUUGAUUGACAGUCCUGUCCCUGCCCCCCUCCAUAGGCUCUUCCCCACUCCGUUGCUAUGGCACAAACUACAACCACAGUUUCUAUGGUUACCUGGAGAGUUCCUUCCUGGGUUUCGGCUUCCCCAACCUGACCACCUUCCUCUCCCUCAUACCCCAUAGCCAGAUGGAACAGCUGGUGAACUCUCUGCCUGUCUCUGACCUGGGUCGUUUCCUGCGCCGCCCCAACGUUGUCGACGACGACACAAAACUCUGCCAGCUCUACAGCAACUACGCCAAGACCCCACUGUUCCUGGGGACUGAGAGUAUCCCUGAGUCAGUGAGGCGUCCCACACUGCCGUGUGUCUGGCCCCAGGCUCUCAGCAGCAGUCAGAGGUCAGAGGUCAACGCCUGGUUUGACAUGAGGCUGAAGAACUACCUGCCCUUCCUCACCAGGAGCCUGGUGACCUCCGCCGCUGUCCAGACCGCCCCUUGUCUGGCCUUCCAGAAACUGUAAGGGAUUUUUCCCCCAAAAAAAUAUAUUUACUACGUAUCUGUUUUCUGAUUUUAUUGAAAGGGGUAGACAGAAAACAGCUGAACGUCAGACAGAAGACUGGUGGGACCGGAAUUACAAUCCCGUGCAGGCAGGGAUUUGCAGAUGUGCAGAGGGCCGCGGCUUUCACCUGUUAGGACUUUUUACUGAGACUUGUUACCACGGGAACAACCCCUUACAAGGGCUUAGUAUGAUGUGCAGAGGGCCGCGGCUUUCACCUGUUAUGACUUUGUACUGAGACUUGUUACCACGGGAACAACCCCUUAGUGUUGGUGGAACUCUUGUAGAAGAGUUUCACAUUCUGUCUUUUUAUACCGUCUGGUCUCAAUGUUCGAUAUUGUGUUUUGACUUGAUCUGUUGUAAUGAAUGUGAUGUUGUUGUUUUUGUUGUGUUUUUUUUUAGCGUCUCAAUUCUGGGGAGUUAUAACUACAGCGCUGCCGACUUUGUGGAGAGAGAUGUGUACAGGGAGACCAUCAGGACGUAUCUCACCUCAGGUCAGCCAUUUUGUGCCACAGACCCGCCAGUUUCCAUCGGAGCCAUAGAUAUGUCUAUGGAGUUUAUGUAACCGUCCUCCAUGUUGGCUCUAAAUGUUCCAUGAUCAAAUCGAAUGAAAUUGUAUUUGUCACAACGCACGCUGAAUACAACCUUUCAGUGAAAUGCUUACUUACAAGCCCC